ACCGGGAGAGGCAAGAGGUACUUCUGGGGUAGGGGGUAAAAUCCUGUAAUCCUAGAAGGACCACCGGUGGCGAAGGCGUCUUGCUAGAACGGAUCCGACGGUGAGGGACGAAGCCCUGGGCCGCAACGGGAUUAGAUACCCCGGUAGUCCAGGGUGUAAACGCUGCAGACUUGGUGUUGGGAACCCUUCGGGGGUGCUCAGUGCCGGAGAGAAGUUGUUAAGUCUGCUACUUGGGGAGUACGUCCGCAAGGAUGAAACUUAAAGGAAUUGGCGGGGGAGCACCGCAACGGGAGGAAGCGUGCGGUUUAAUUGGAUUCAACGCCGAAAAACUCACCAGCAGCGACUGUUACAUGAAAGUCAGGUUGAUGACCUUACUAGAUUUUCAGAGAAGAGGUGCAUGG
rnacentral:rRNA from 1 species